rnacentral:rRNA from 1 species
UACAGAGGUCCCGAGCGUUGUUCGGAUUCAUUGGGCGUAAAGGGUGCGUAGGCGGUGAGGCAAGUCUGGUGUGAAAUCCCGGGGCUCAACCCCGGAACUGCACUGGAUACUGCUUUACUAGAGUACUGGAGAGGGAACUGGAAUUUACGGUGUAGCAGUGAAAUGCGUAGAUAUCGUAAGGAAGACCAGUGGCGAAGGCGAGUUCCUGGACAGUUACUGACGCUGAGGCACGAAGGCCAGGGGAGCAAACGGG